CAUGCAAGUCGAGCGGUAAGGCCCUUCGGGGUACACGAGCGGCGAACGGGUGAGUAACACGUGGGUGAUCUGCCUCGUACUCUGGGAUAAGCCUGGGAAACUGGGUCUAAUACCGGAUAUGACCACGAAUCGCAUGGUUUGUGGUGGAAAGAUUUAUCGGUGCGAGAUGGGCCCGCGGCCUAUCAGCUUGUUGGUGGGGUAAUGGCCUACCAAGGCGACGACGGGUAGCCGACCUGAGAGGGUGACCGGCCACACUGGGACUGAGACACGGCCCAGACUCCUACGGGAGGCAGCAGUGGGGAAUAUUGCACAAUGGGCGAAAGCCUGAUGCAGCGACGCCGCGUGAGGGAUGACGGCCUUCGGGUUGUAAACCUCUUUCGACAGGGACGAAGCGCAAGUGACGGUACCUGUAGAAGAAGCACCGGCCAACUACGUGCCAGCAGCCGCGGUAAUACGUAGGGUGCGAGCGUUGUCCGGAAUUACUGGGCGUAAAGAGCUUGUAGGCGGUUCGUCGCGUCGAUUGUGAAAACUUGCAGCUCAACUGCAAGCUUGCAGUCGAUACGGGCGGACUAGAGUACUUCAGGGGAGACUGGAAUUCCUGGUGUAGCGGUGAAAUGCGCAGAUAUCAGGAGGAACACCGGUGGCGAAGGCGGGUCUCUGGGAAGUAACUGACGCUGAGAAGCGAAAGCGUGGGUAGCGAACAGGAUUA
rnacentral:rRNA from 1 species